rnacentral:misc_RNA from 1 species
AAGUCGUAACAAGGUUUCCGUAGGUGAACCUGUGGAAGGAUCAUUGACAAAUCUAACUUAUAAAUUUUGGCUUAAAACCCAAAUUUAUAAUAUUAAACCAUGUGAAUCGCACAAAUGCUUUUUUUAAGCGUUUGCUGUUAUACAUUAACGUCUGAUUUAAAUGUCUGAUUAAAAAUAAACAAAAAAUACAACUUUUAGCAAUGGAUCUCUUGGCUUUU